GACGAACGCUGGCGGCGUGCUUAACACAUGCAAGUCGAACGGUAAGGCCCUUCGGGGUACACGAGUGGCGAACGGGUGAGUAACACGUGGGUGAUCUGCCCUGCACUUCGGGAUAAGCCUGGGAAACUGGGUCUAAUACCGGAUAGGACCCUGGGAUGCAUGUCCUGGGGUGGAAAGCUUUUGCGGUGUGGGAUGGGCCCGCGGCCUAUCAGCUUGUUGGUGGGGUGAUGGCCUACCAAGGCGACGACGGGUAGCCGGCCUGAGAGGGUAACCGGCCACACUGGGACUGAGAUACGGCCCAGACGCCUACGGGAGGCAGCCGUGGGGAAUAUUGCACAAUGGGCGCAAGCCUGAUGCAGCGACGCCGCGUGAGGGAUGACGGCCUUCGGGUUGUAAACCUCUUUCAGCACCGACGAAGCGCAAGUGACGGUAGGUGCAGAAGAAGGACCGGCCAACUACGUGCCAGCCGCCGCCGUAA
rnacentral:rRNA from 1 species